GACGAACGCUGGCGGCGUGCCUAAUACAUGCAAGUAGAACGCUGAAGGAGGAGCUUGCUUCUCUGGAUGAGUUGCGAACGGGUGAGUAACGCGUAGGUAACCUGCCUGGUAGCGGGGGAUAACUAUUGGAAACGAUAGCUAAUACCGCAUAACAGUAGAUAUCGCAUGAUAGCUACUUGAAAGGUGCAAUUGCACCACUACCAGAUGGACCUGCGUUGUAUUAGCUAGUUGGUGAGGUAACGGCUCACCAAGGCAACGAUACAUAGCCGACCUGAGAGGGUGAUCGGCCACACUGGGACUGAGACACGGCCCAGACUCCUACGGGAGGCAGCAGUAGGGAAUCUUCGGCAAUGGACGGAAGUCUGACCGAGCAACGCCGCGUGAGUGAAGAAGGUUUUCGGAUCGUAAAGCUCUGUUGUAAGAGAAGAACGAGUGUGAGAGUGGAAAGUUCACACUGUGACGGUAUCUUACCAGAAAGGGACGGCUAACUACGUGCCAGCAGCCGCGGUAAUACGUAGGUCCCGAGCGUUGUCCGGAUUUAUUGGGCGUAAAGCGAGCGCAGGCGGUUAGAUAAGUCUGAAGUUAAAGGCUGUGGCUUAACCAUAGUACGCUUUGGAAACUGUUUAACUUGAGUGCAAGGGGGGAGAGUGGAAUUCCAUGUGUAGCGGUGAAAUGCGUAGAUAUAUGGAGGAACACCGGUGGCGAAAGCGGCUCUCUGGCUUGUAACUGACGCUGAGGCUCGAAAGCGUGGGGAGCAAACAGG
rnacentral:rRNA from 1 species